rnacentral:rRNA from 1 species
CCUACGGGAGGCUGCAGUGAGGAAUAUUGGUCAAUGGACGAGAGUCUGAACCAGCCAAGUAGCGUGAAGGAUGACUGCCCUAUGGGUUGUAAACUUCUUUUAUAUGGGAAUAAAAUGUUCCACGUGUGGGAUUUUGUAUGUACCAUAUGAAUAAGGAUCGGCUAACUCCGUGCCAGCAGCCGCGGUAAUACGGAGGAUCCGAGCGUUAUCCGGAUUUAUUGGGUUUAAAGGGAGCGUAGGUGGAUUGUUAAGUCAGUUGUGAAAGUUUGCGGCUAAACCGUAAAAUUGCAGUUGAAACUGGCAGUCUUGAGUACAGUAGAGGUUGGCGGAAUUCGUGGUGCAGCGGUGAAAUGCUUAGAUAUCACGAAGAACUCCGAUUGCGAAGGCAGUUCACUGGACUGCAACUGACACUGAGGCUCGAAAGUGUGGGUAUCAAACAGGAUUAGAUACCCUUGUAGUC